AAGCAUUAAGAUGCAGGAAAGGAAAAGGCAGCAGAAGAUUGACACCUUUUUCAAAAGAUUUCUUGUCUGUUGCCAGAGACCUUAGUUGUUUCAGAGGGAACACAGGGAUUCACAGGUAUGAGCCCAGAGGUUCGUGGUUUCUUUGACCAAGAUGAAACAGUUGCUCGUCUCCUCCUAGCUGUGCCUGUGUCAUCAGCACAGUCAGAAAGGAGUUUCAGCAGACUCUGGAGGCUGAAAACAUGGCUACGCAGCACCAUGACCCAAACCCACCUUAACAGUGUUGCUGUGUGCCAUGUACAUAAAGAUGAGCUGGAUAGGGUGAACAGAAAAAUGAUUGCUAAUCAGUUUGUCGCAUGUAAGGAAAACAGAAAGAGCACUUUUGGUUUUUUUAAUUGAACUGAGUGAAAGUUCAAAUGUUCAUAUAUUUAACGUUAAAUGUUCAGGCCAGUUGGUUUUCAUGCUAUGUUGGCAAUAUCCAACAUUUUUGUGCAGUUGUA